GACGGAGGAUGCAAGUGUUAUCCGGAAUCACUGGGCGUAAAGCGUCUGUAGGUGGUUUCAAAAGUCCACUGUUAAAGAUUGAAGCUUAACUUCAAAAAUGCCGUGGAAACUUUGAAACUUGAGUAUGAUAGGGGUAGAGGGAAUUUCCGGUGGAGCGUGAAAUGCGUAGAGAUCGGAAAGAACACCAACGGCGAAAGCACUCUGCUGGGCCGACACUGACACUGAAAGACGAAAGCUAGGGGAGCGAAUGGG
rnacentral:rRNA from 1 species